UACGUAUGGUGCAAGCGUUAUCCGGAUUUACUGGGUGUAAAGGGUGCGUAGGUGGUAUGGCAAGUCAGAAGUGAAAGGCUGGGGCUUAACCCCGGGACUGCUUUUGAAACUGUCAAACUAGAGUACAGGAGAGGAAAGCGGAAUUCCUAGUGUAGCGGUGAAAUGCGUAGAUAUUAGGAGGAACACCAGUGGCGAAGGCGGCUUUCUGGACUGAAACUGACACUGAGGCACGAAAGCGUGGGGAGCAAACAGG
rnacentral:rRNA from 1 species